UACGAAGGGGCUAGCGUUGUUCGGAAUUACUGGGCGUAAAGCGCGCGCAGGCGGUCUUCCAAGUCAGUGGUGAAAGCCCGGAGCUCAACUCCGGAACUGCCAUUGAAACUGUUGGACUUGAGUAUGAGAGAGGUGAGUGGAAUUCCCAGUGUAGAGGUGAAAUUCGUAGAUAUUGGGAAGAACACCGGUGGCGAAGGCGGCUCACUGGCUCAUUACUGACGCUCAGGCGCGACAGCGUGGGGAUCAAACAGG
rnacentral:rRNA from 1 species